rnacentral:rRNA from 1 species
UUCGCAAUGCCCGAAAGGGUGACGAAGCGACGCCGCGUGUGGGAAGAAGGCCUUCGGGUUGUAAACCACUGUCGGGAGUUAAGAAAUGCAAGGGUGCUAAUAGUAUCCUUGCUUGACUAAGGCUCCGGAGGAAGCCACGGCUAACUCUGUGCCAGCAGCCGCGGUAAUACAGAGGCGGCAAGCGUUGUUCGGAAUUAUUGGGCGUAAAGAGCACGUAGGCGGCUAUGUAAGUCGGUUGUGAAAGCCUUCCGCUCAACGGAAGAACAGCAUCCGAUACUGCAUGGCUUGAGUGUGGGAGGGGAGAGUGGAACUUCUGGUGGAGCGGUGAAAUGCGUAGAUAUCAGAAGGAACGCCGGCGGCGAAAGCGGCUCUCUGGCCCAUAACUGACGCUGAGUGUGCGAAAGCUAGGGGAGCAAACGGGAUUAGAUACCCCGGUAGUCCUAGCCGUAAACGAUGGGCACUAAGUAGAGGGGUUUU